rnacentral:rRNA from 1 species
CCUAACACAUGCAAGUCUAACGGUAACAGGAAGAAGCUUGCUUCUUUGCUGACGAGUGGCGGACGGGUGAGUAAUGUCUGGGAAACUGCCUGAUGGAGGGGGAUAACUACUGGAAACGGUAGCUAAUACCGCAUAACGUCGCAAAACCAAAGAGGGGGACCUUCGGGCCUCUUGCCAUCGGAUGUGCCCAGAUGGGAUUAGCUAGUAGGUGGGGUAACGGCUCACCUAGGCGACGAUCCCUAGCUGGUCUGAGAGGAUGACCAGCCACACUGGAACUGAGACACGGUCCAGACUCCUACGGGA